CUCCCUCAAGCUCAAAAGAAGAGCAGUUGCGUCGCCUCUCUCUCUCUCGUUGAUGGCAGUGCAACAACCAAGCGGCGGCGACAGCUUCCGGCGGCGGGAUGAUCGACAGUGGUGUCUACAGUAGUCUCCUCCGGCGACCUUGGUGAGCAGCGGCAACUCUUCCCCUGUUUUCCGGCAGUUUGUGGCGUCAGGCAGUGCGCAGUUUUGGCGGUGUACAAAGCUGACGGUAGGGAUAGCGUCGGCGGUGGUGGGUGAUCUUUUCCCGGCGAAGCUGGUGGCAGAACGUGGAUGUCGUCUUGGCUUGGUGGCUUCGGCACACCGGCGGGUGGAGGAAACGCCCGUGGUUCCACCCUCUGUUUCCCAGCAUGAAGAAGACGAAGAAGGAUGGUUCCCGUUUGGCUUAUGAGUUGAGCCUAGCCUUUGUUGGAGUUGUUUUUGGUUGGAUAAGCGAUUGAGGUUGGGUAGCCUUGGAGAGCGCGCUAGUGGCCUGUAGAUAGUGUUAUCUCUUCCUGUAUUAGUUGUUGAGGCCUGUGAGCCUAUGUGGUUGAGUUGUUAGACUGUUGUAGUUGUAGUAUCUGCCUGUGCACCUAUGUUUGAUAUAGGUGUGGCAUAGCAUCUCCCGGUUGAUGUAGUUAGCUUCCGCU